AUAGAAAACCUCAUUUAAUUAUAUUUAAUAAAGGGGCUUAUUCUCUAAAGUGCUAAUUGUGGAAUAUUGACCCGACACUUGUGAAUUUUGGUCCUUAAUACAAACUUUCCAGCUCAGAUUAUUCUCCAAAACUAGCAUUUAGGCAUAAUAUGUCAAUUAUCCAAAAACCCACUUUACACCCCAAUGUAUUACUUUGGCAAUAC